rnacentral:tRNA from 1 species
GCUCCCGUAACUCAGGCUGGCCAGAGUGACUGCUUUACACGCAGAGGGACGGUGGUUCGAAUCCAUCCGGGAGUA